rnacentral:rRNA from 1 species
CCUACGGGAGGCAGCAGUGAGGAAUAUUGGUCAAUGGACGCAAGUCUGAACCAGCCAUGCCGCGUGCAGGAAGACGGCUCUCUUAGUUGUAAACUGCAUUUGUACGAGGGUAAACGCAGAUACGCGUAUCUGUCUGAAAGUAUCGUACGAAUAAGGAUCGGCUAACUCGGUGCCAGCAGCCGCGGUAAUACGGAGGAUCCAAGCGUUAUCCGGAUGUAUUGGGUUUAAGGGGUGCGUAGGCGGUCGGAUAAGUUAGAGGUGAAAGCCCGAGGCUCAACUUCGGAAUUGCCUUUGAUACUGUUCGGCUGGAGAGUAGUUGCGGUAGGUGGAAUUUAUGGUGUAGCGGUGAAAUGCUUAGAGAUUACGAAGAACACCGAUUGCGAAGGCAGCUUACUAAACUGCAACUGACAUUGAUGCUCGAAAGUGUGGGUAUCAAACAGGAUUAGAUACCCCGGUAGUC